AACUUUAUAAAGCUCUUAAAAAAUUUACAAGGUUUUUUAAAGUUUAUAAAGGGUUCUUAAAAAAAUUUACAAGGAUUUUUCAAUGUAUUUUUUUAGCUGGGAAAACAUUUGUUGCGGGAAAGAAAUUUUGGCGGGAAGAAAAAUUUUUAUGGGAGAAAAAAAUUUUAGUAGGGAAAUUUAUUUAUUUUUGGCGGGAAAAAAAUUUCCAAGGAAAAUUUUUAAUUUCUAAUUACAUCGUAUUAGAUAAGGGUAAUUUGGUCAUUUUGUUAAAGAGAAGGGAUAUUUUUUAAAAUGGACAACAGAGAAGGAUAGUGUUGCAAAAUGUUACUAGAAAAUGGGUAGAAUUUGCAAAUCUCCCUAUUAUAUUUAGGUUCUCUAUUUCUAAUUUAUAGUAUAUAUUUCCACUAUUUAAAAAAAA
rnacentral:sRNA from 1 species